rnacentral:rRNA from 1 species
UACGAAGGGGGCUAGCGUUGCUCGGAAUCACUGGGCGUAAAGCGCACGUAGGCGGCUUGUUAAGUCAGGGGUGAAAUCCUGGAGCUCAACUCCAGAACUGCCUUUGAUACUGGCGAGCUUGAGUUCGGGAGAGGUGAGUGGAACUGCGAGUGUAGAGGUGAAAUUCGUAGAUAUUCGCAAGAACACCAGUGGCGAAGGCGGCUCACUGGCCCGAUACUGACGCUGAGGUGCGAAAGCGUGGGGAGCAAACAGGGAUUAAGAAA